UUGGGUCCGGCAUAACCCCGGGAAACUGGGGAUAAUUCCGGAUAACGCACAUAUGCUGGAAUGCUUUAUGCGUCAAAUGGAUUCGUCUGCCCAAGGAUGGGUCUGCGGCCUAUCAGGUAGUAGUGGGUGUAAUGUACCUACUAGCCGACGACGGGUACGGGUUGUGAGAGCAAGAGCCCGGAGAUGGAUUCUGAGACAUGAAUCCAGGCCCUACGGGGCGCAGCAGGCGCGAAAACUUUACAAUGCGGGAAACCGUGAUAAGGGGACACCGAGUGCCAGCAUCAUAUGCUGGCUGUCCGGGUGCGUAAAAUACACCUGUUAGCAAGGGCCGGGCAAGACCGGUGCCAGCCGCCGCGGUAACACCGGCGGCCCGAGUGGUGAUCGUGAUUAUUGGGUCUAAAGGGUCCGUAGCCGGUUUGGUCAGUCCUCCGGGAAAUCUGACGGCUUAACCGUUAGGCUUUCGGAGGAUA
rnacentral:rRNA from 1 species